rnacentral:rRNA from 1 species
UACGAAGGGGGCUAGCGUUGUUCGGAAUUACUGGGCGUAAAGCGCACGUAGGCGGAUUUGUUAGUCAGGGGUGAAAUCCCGGGGCUCAACCUCGGAACUGCCUUUGAUACUGCAAGUCUCGAGUCCGGAAGAGGUGAGUGGAAUUCCUAGUGUAGAGGUGAAAUUCGUAGAUAUUAGGAAGAACACCAGUGGCGAAGGCGGCUCACUGGUCCGGUACUGACGCUGAGGUGCGAAAAGCGUGGGGGAGCAAACAGG